AGUGGAGGCCACCUCCACAUAGAUUAAAAAAUAAUUAAAUACUUUAAUAACUAAAAAUUAAAAAUAAACUUAAAAGAAAAACUUAAAAACCAUCCUCCUAUCCUCUCAUUUCUGCACCCCAAACCCAACCCACACCCAUCUACAGUCGCCACCACUCCACCAUCCCCUUCCACAAACCCAACCCAACCCACCACCACACCAUCCCUUUCCACAAACCCAACCCCACCCAGCACCUGCAAUCACUUAGCACGACAGUGGAUUGGGCUUGCCCCAAAAAUCCCCAAAUUAAAAUUUGCCAAAAAUGAAGAAGUCGACAGCGACAGGGUGGGAGCAAGAUCUGAUUUUCUGGGGUUGACCCGAGAAGAUCUUGGGGUGAGGCGCGAUUGUUUGGGAGUCAAAGUUGUAUGGGGCAAUUUUGGGUUUUUAAAUUGUAUGCAUUUGUAGGCUGCCAUUUUGGAUUUGGGAUUAAAAUGCCCCAGCAACUCUGCCUGCUGAAAUGGGCAGCCCCUCAUCUAGACUACCAUUCAUCAUGAAUUCAUAAACCAAAGUUUUGAAAUCGUUUCCUUGAAAAUCGAUACUUGCACACGCGGUCAAUAGUUUGACAAGAUUUCGGUGCCUAAUGUUUUUCAAGGCUUCACAUUCAGCUAUAAAGCUCUCUUGAACUCUGAACAUUGAGUACUUUGACUGCAACAAUUUCUUCUUUCUUCCUCAUUGAGAAUUCCCCUGUACACAGAACCAAAACUACCAGCACCAAUCAAAUUCCGAGAAGACAAACCAUUAGUUGCUUUGAGGAGAUCUGCAUAUGACACUUUCAAGAGUGAAACCCCCCAUGCUGAUCCUGAAGUUGGCUUCACUCUUGCUUUUCUUGAUGGAUAAAGAAGCACAGAGAGCAAUGCUUUUUUUGAUAAAUAAAGAAGCACAAAGCACAAGAGUAAGCCAAGUCCAAUAACUCCCCCAAUAGCAAUUGAUGUAAGUACUUUCCGCCAUGGAAAUAAUUCUGUCUUAGGUUCUUGCUUAGAUUGAUUGGAGAUGCAUCGGCGUUACGGCAAUCCUAGCAGAAGUAUACCACCACAUAGCCUUUUGUUUCCCAUGAUGGAGUGGGAGUGGAAGGUGGAAGGUGGAGGGGAAGGAGAAGGAGGGAGGUACGAAAGGGAGAUGAUGACUUGCAUGUUUUUUUUUAAAAUAAUUUUUUUUCAUGGUUGUUGAAGAAAGGAGGAGGAGAGGGAGCGAUUUGGAAGAGAGAGCAAUGGUUGGUGCCGCUGGGUAGGGGGAUGGGUGUGGGUGGG
rnacentral:lncRNA from 1 species